rnacentral:rRNA from 1 species
UACGGAGGGUGCAAGCGUUAUCCGGAUUUACUGGGUUUAAAGGGUGUGUAGGCGGACUUUUAAGUCAGGGGUGAAAUCCCGAGGCUCAACCUCGGAAACUGCCUUUAAUACUAUUGGUCUUGAAUGUUGUUGAGGUGGCGGAACGGGUCAUGUAGCGGUGAAAUGCAUAGAUAUGACCGGAACACCGAUUGCGAAGGCAGCCCACUAAGCAACUAUUGACGCUGAGGCACGAAAGCGUGGGAUCAA